rnacentral:rRNA from 1 species
GACGAACGCUGGCGGCGCGCCUAACACAUGCAAGUCGAACGGAGCUGACAGAAUUUUGUUUUUUUUAGCUUAGUGGCGAACGGGUGAGUAACGCGUGAGUAACCUGCUCUGGAGUGGGGGACAACCGUUGGAAACGACUGCUAAUACCGCAUAAGCCCACGAUCCGUCAUCGGAUUGAGGGAAAAGGAUUUAUUCGGGUUAGAAUGGACUCUCAUCCAAUUAGCUAGGUGGUGAGGUAACGGCACACCAAGGCGACGUUUGGUAGCCGGACUGAGAGGUUGAACCGCUACGUUUGGGAUGAGACACAGCCCAGAAUCCUACGGAAGGGAGCAGUGGAGGAUAUUGCACAAUGGAGGAAGACCUGAUGAAGCGACGCCGGGUAGAGGAGGAAGGUUUUCGGAUUGUAAACUCGUGUGGUUAGGGACGAUAAUGACGGUACCUAACAAGAAAGCACCGGCUAACUACGUG